rnacentral:tRNA from 1 species
GCCUGGGUGGCUCAGUGGUUAAGUGUCUGCCUUCGGCUCAGGGCGUGAUCCCGGUGUUGUGGGAUCGAGCCCCACAUCAGGCU